rnacentral:lncRNA from 1 species
AGGAACCUUUGUCCCAGUGAGAGAGGCUGAGGAGUACGUACCAAGGGACAGUUUGUGAGACUCUGCCCCUCCCUCCCCACUGCUGAUAUAACAGCAUGAAAUUAAACCUAUUCCAGUCUGUGACAUCUGAUCCCUUUGACAUGACAUAGUACAACCUGUAGAGCCAGAGGUGGGGGCCAGGAAGCCCUGUUCUAGUCUCUCUGCACAACCUUGAGCCAUCUCAUCAUCUGCACAUCUGCCUGAACCUCAGUCUCCCACUCUGGACGUUGUCGGGGUGAUGGAGCAAGCAUUCAGUUAUUCUCUGCUGGAUUCUGAUGUGGUCUAAAGUCCACACUUUGUUGUGAAACACCGCAAUCUGUGAUGUACAGAACCUAUUACUGCGGCCACCCAGGAAUGCUGGGGGCAGGCCUUUUGAGAAGGUGAAUCAGCGUGUGUUAGCUCAGGGCAGAGGGCCUGGCGGUGAGACGUGAGAACAGCCAAUGUCAUGGCGGUGGGGGAGUGGACGUGAGCCAUCUGGGGCCCAGCAAACAGCAUGUUGAAAAAAACGAGGAACUCAAAGGCAGAUGAGCCUACCACGCUGGGAACAGUUGGGAGUACAUUGCUCAAGCCCCGGCCAGUUUUAUGUCACUGCUGGUGUGAAGCAGUGAACAGUGACCCAGCAUGCAUCCAGGUGGCGGGACAGAGUCAGACUCUCCAGGGCAGAGAGACUCUAAAACUGACGGCCAGGUCUUGCUCAGACUACGGGCCUGAGGGAAGAUCCAAGACUGAAACAGGGCUUGGAAUGGAGGGGGUGGAGUUGAGGAGAUCACAGAGGACCUAGGAGUGUGUGUAUCGGAGAGAGAUAGGAAACCACUGACCGUUCAGCACACAUUCAGAAUUACUGCCUGUCCCAGGGAGGGACCCACAGCUCCGGCGCUCCGUUCAGCAUCUGGAAGAGCAUAGCUCGCUGUGAGCGGCCGCCCCAGAAGACUGUAUCCCACCCAGCCAGCUCUCCUGCCUGCUUGCCUCUGCCCCACACCAGGACACUUCAUACUGUCAGAACCACUGGGUGUGUGAGCUUGUGAGAGGGUGUGUGGGCACACAUGUCCCUGUGUGGGGUGUGGAGGUCAGAGGGCAACUUGGAGGAAUUGGUUCUCUCCUUCCACCACUGGGGCCCAGGAAUCAAGCCGAGGUUCCCAGACGUGGUAGCAGCCUCCCUUACCUGUUAAACCAGUGCUUCCCAGACUUCCUAAUGCUGUGACCUCAUGCUGUGCUGACCCCCGCCCAUGACAUUAUCUCUGUUGGUAUUUUAUAACUGUAAUUUUGCUACUAUUAUGAAUCACAAUGUAAAUGUCUGUUUUCUGAUG